rnacentral:rRNA from 1 species
AAACAUUGCUUUAUGUUUAUCUAUAAGGUUAACCCUGCUCAAUGAUAUAUUAAAUAGCCGCAGUACCUUGACUGUGCAAAGGUAGCAUAAUCAUUUGGCUUAUAAUUGAAGUCUAGUAUGAAUGGGAAUAUGGGUAGUUACUGUCUUACCAUAAUUUAAUGAAUUUACUAAUUAAGUGAAAAUUCUUAUAAUAAUAUAAUAGACGAGAAGACCCUAGAAAUUUUAUAUAUUUAUGUGAUUACAUAAGCUAUUUUGUUGGGGCGACAAAACAACAAUAAACUUGUUUAUUAAAUAUUUGACGUUAUUGAGUAGAAUAAAUAAAUUACUCUAGGGAUAACAGCAUAAUACAAAAGAGUUUGUGACCUCGAUGUUGGACUAGGAAUAUUAUUGUUUAGAAGAUAAUAAUUAAGGCUCUGUUCGAGCUCAAUUUCCUACGUGAUC